rnacentral:lncRNA from 1 species
AACUUUUAUUGAUUUCAACAUUCAUUACAUUCAUUUUGAAUAGGCCCUCAUUGAGGUAGCCUUUUCCUCCAUACACUUCUCCUUUACUAAGUACAAUUUUUCUGGAAACAAAUACACAUUUGUGUCACGACCCAUUUUCUAAACAAAGUCAUGACCGGCACCCGGUGCCUUACUUGACCGAGCGAAUCGACUUAACUGUUCUAACCUAAAAUUUCAUGUAACAUACCCCGCACACACAUAAAAUACAUGAAAAAUCUCUUAUUAGAACACCAGUUCAAAUUACCCUUAAAAUAAUUCAAAGUAACAUGACCAAACAUAACCCAACUAAAAAUACGUCUAUGAAGCCUCUACUAGAGUGCUAACAGGAAUGCACAGGACAUAGAUUUCCUGGCUAAUCCCCAAGCAAAUACUGAAAAAAGAAAUAAGUGAAUGAAGUUGAUGAAAGAAGAGAAACUCCACAAUCAAGAGUGGAGCUCACCAAUCAGCAUCUGGAAUAAAAUGGCCUAGAUUAUAGUCUGCUCGUCUAUAUUACCUGCACCUACAUUGACAUAAGUCAAUAUAGGUUCCACAAAGAGAACGUCAGUACACCACUAGCGGUACUCAGUGAGUCUCAACAUUCCCCAUUACUAAAAUCAAAACGAAACCUUGUAUAAAACAUAUAUGUGAUAAGAGAAUGAAAGAAAGCAAGUCAUCAUGCCUUAUGGAGCAUAUUACAGAGUAAAGCAAGAGAACAAUCACCAAAACUUAUAGAUUAGUUAAUUAGUUCAUUCUUUUCGAUUUCUUUAAAUUGAUUCAAUCGAUUGAACAUUUUUUUAAUUAUGUCAACUGUGGUAUUAGUAACCCAUUAUACGUUUACUCGUGGCCCUUUAUACAACCACUAAAUUUGUGCCUCAUUAUGACAAUUGUGGUAACCCUUUGUACUGCUGCUUGUGACCCUUUAUACGGUCAUCAUUCAGGUAUGUCGAAUCAUGGCAAGUCAGUAACCCUUUAUAGCCACUGGUAACCUUUUGUAUGGUUACCAUGUUAUUUAAGUUCGAUGUAAACUUCCAACAAGUUGCUUUACCCUGAUCAUGAUUUAAGGGAGUACAUUAUGGUUAUUGCUAACAUGAAAAGGAAUCACACAAAAUUUUGGAUGGAAGAUGUUUUCUCUGCUCGAUCAUGUUUCCAGCGAACAGUAACUGUUUUGGGACAUUAAACUUAAGAAUAUCAUUGCUUUUAGUUUGUCAACUAUGAAAGUUAAAUUUUCAGGACAUAUGUUACUGCAAUGUAGUAAUUACCACGUUAAUUUGACAAAUCCAAAGAGAAAACAGAGAGCACAAGGUAACUAACUCAACAAAGGCAGUGCGAACUCACUCGUUCCAAUUAAACUCACAGUAGCAUUUUAGAAGCAUUUUGUCAAACACCUUAUAGACAUGACUUUGUAAGAAAAGACUUCAGUAAGAGCAAGUCUUAACUCACCUCAAGAUUCAUCACAGCUAGCAAGGUUAAAUUCUACCUUUACCAAUAACAAUCAACAAGUCAAUUCUUUGUUCACAAGAGCCAAGAACAGUAGAAGUUACCAAGGGCAAAAAUAACCCCUGUAACCUUCCUCUUUUUCUGUUAGUGGUCACACGUUUUAUGCAGUAAAGUUGUAGGAUUGGCCCAUAUAUAUAACUUUUCCUCAAAUAAAUAAUUCGUGUUAUUUAACUUACCAACUAAACACAUGCAGCAAUAAUAACUAAAUCUCCCACUUUGAAGUUAAUGCCUCCAGUUUAGGUCUACAUUAUACUUAUAUUCAAUAACUACUCCACUCAUUCAAUUAAAUCUGCUUUUGGCCCAUUCUAAUACGUGUUUGCAUAGCCACAUCAUCUUGAAACCUAGAAAUCUAAUUCUCCCACAUAAUCUCCA